rnacentral:rRNA from 1 species
UACGGAGGGGGCAAGCGUUAUCCGGAUUUACUGGGUUUAAAGGGUGCGUAGGCGGGCCCUUAAGUCAGUGGUGAAAGCUCCGAGCUUAACUCGGAAACUGCCAUUGAUACUAUAGGUCUUGAAUUCGGUCGAGGUUGGCGGAAUGUGUCGUGUAGCGGUGAAAUGCUUAGAUAUGACACAGAACACCGAUUGCGAAGGCAGCUAGCUAGACCGACAUUGACGCUGAGGCACGAAAGCGUGGGGAUCAAACAGG